rnacentral:rRNA from 1 species
GAUGAACGCUAGCUACAGGCUUAACACAUGCAAGUCGAGGGACCGGCGCACGGGUGAGUAACACGUAUCCCACCUGCCCUUUACUCGGGGAUAGCCUUUCGCAAGAACGAUUAAUACCCGAUAUAAAGGAUGGGGAUGCGUUCCAUUAGGUUGUUGGUGAGGUAACGGCUCACCAAGCCUUCGAUGGAUAGGGGUUAUGAGAGGAAGGUCCCCCAGAUUGGAACUGAGGUCCGGUCCAAACUCGUAGGGGAGGCAGCAGUGAGGAAUAUUAGUCAAUGGGCGCUAGCCUGAACCAGCCAAGUAGCGUGAAGGAUGAAGGCUUAUGAGACGUAAACUUCUUUGAUAUAAGAAUAGGUAUUAUAUGAAUAAGGAUCGGCUAACUCCGUGCCAGCAGCCGCGGUAAUUC